CCUGGCUCCGUAUGAACGCUAGCUACAGGCUUAACACAUGCAAGUCGAGGGGCAGCAUGGUCUUAGCUUGCUAAGGCCGAUGGCGACCGGCGCACGGGUGAGUAACACGUAUCCAACCUGCCGUCUACUCUUGGACAGCCUUCUGAAAGGAAGAUUAAUACAAGAUGGCAUCAUGAGUCCGCAUGUUCACAUGAUUAAAGGUAUUCCGGUAGACGAUGGGGAUGCGUUCCAUUAGAUAGUAGGCGGGGUAACGGCCCACCUAGUCUUCGAUGGAUAGGGGUUCUGAGAGGAAGGUCCCCCACAUUGGAACUGAGACACGGUCCAAACUCCUACGGGAGGCAGCAGUGAGGAAUAUUGGUCAAUGGGCGAGAGCCUGAACCAGCCAAGUAGCGUGAAGGAUGACUGCCCUAUGGGUUGUAAACUUCUUUUAUAAAGGAAUAAAGUCGGGUAUGGAUACCCGUUUGCAUGUACUUUAUGAAUAAGGAUCGGCUAACUCCGUGCCAGCAGCCGCGGUAAUACGGAGGAUCCGAGCGUUAUCCGGAUUUAUUGGGUUUAAAGGGAGCGUAGAUGGAUGUUUAAGUCAGUUGUGAAAGUUUGCGGCUCAACCGUAAAAUUGCAGUUGAUACUGGAUAUCUUGAGUGCAGUUGAGGCAGGCGGAAUUCGUGGUGUAGCGGUGAAAUGCUUAGAUAUCACGAAGAACUCCGAUUGCGAAGGCAGCCUGCUAAGCUGCAACUGACAUUGAGGCUCGAAAGUGUGGGUAUCAAACAGGAUUAGAUACCCUGGUAGUCCACACGGUAAACGAUGAAUACUCGCUGUUUGCGAUAUACGGCAAGCGGCCAAGCGAAAGCGUUAAGUAUUCCACCUGGGGAGUACGCCGGCAACGGUGAAACUCAAAGGAAUUGACGGGGGCCCGCACAAGCGGAGGAACAUGUGGUUUAAUUCGAUGAUACGCGAGGAACCUUACCCGGGCUUAAAUUGCAGAUGAAUUACGGUGAAAGCCGUAAGCCGCAAGGCAUCUGUGAAGGUGCUGCAUGGUUGUCGUCAGCUCGUGCCGUGAGGUGUCGGCUUAAGUGCCAUAACGAGCGCAACCCUUGUUGUCAGUUACUAACAGGUUCCGCUGAGGACUCUGACAAGACUGCCAUCGUAAGAUGUGAGGAAGGUGGGGAUGACGUCAAAUCAGCACGGCCCUUACGUCCGGGGCUACACACGUGUUACAAUGGGGGGUACAGAGGGCCGCUACCACGCGAGUGGAUGCCAAUCCCCAAAACCUCUCUCAGUUCGGACUGGAGUCUGCAACCCGACUCCACGAAGCUGGAUUCGCUAGUAAUCGCGCAUCAGCCACGGCGCGGUGAAUACGUUCCCGGGCCUUGCACACACCGCCCG
rnacentral:rRNA from 1 species